GUGAGGCUGAAAAGCGUAGUCGAUGGGAAACAGGUUAAUAUUCCUGUACUUCUGGUUACUGCGAUGGAGGGACGGAGAAGGCUAGGCCAGCUUGGCGUUGGUUGUCCAAGUUUAAGGUGGUAGGCUGAAAUCUUAGGUAAAUCCGGGGUUUCAAGGCCGAGAGCUGAUGACGAGUCGUCUUUUAGAUGACGAAGUGGUUGAUGCCAUGCUUCCAAGAAAAGCUUCUAAGCUUCAGGUAACCAGGAACCGUACCCCAAACCGACACAGGUGGUCGGGUAGAGAAUACCAAGGCGCUUGAGAGAACUCGGGUGAAGGAACUAGGCAAAAUGGCACCGUAACUUCGGGAGAAGGUGCGCCGGCUAGGGUGAAGGAUUUACUCCGUAAGCUCUGGCUGGUCGAAGAUACCAGGCCGCUGCGACUGUUUAUUAAAAACACAGCACUCUGCAAACACGAAAGUGGACGUAUAGGGUGUGACGCCUGCCCGGUGCCGGAAGGUUAAUUGAUGGGGUUAGCGCAAGCGAAGCUCUUGAUCGAAGCCCCGGUAAACGGCGGCCGUAACAAUAACGGUCCUAAGGUAGCGAAAUUCCUUGUCGGGUAAGUUCCGACCUGCACGAAUGGCGUAACGAUGGCGGCGCUGUCUCCACCCGAGACUCAGUGAAAUUGAAAUCGCUGUGAAGAUGCAGUGUAUCCGCGGCUAGACGGAAAGACCCCGUGAACCUUUACUGUAGCUUUGCACUGGACUUUGAGCCUGCUUGUGUAGGAUAGGUGGGAGGCUUUGAAGCGUGGACGCCAGUUCGCGUGGAGCCAUCCUUGAAAUACCACCCUGGCAUGCUUGAGGUUCUAACUCUGGUCCGUAAUCCGGAUCGAGGACAGUGUAUGGUGGGCAGUUUGACUGGGGCGGUCUCCUCCUAAAGAGUAACGGAGGAGUACGAAGGUGCGCUCAGACCGGUCGGAAAUCGGUCGCAGAGUAUAAAGGCAAAAGCGCGCUUGACUGCGAGACAGACACGUCGAGCAGGUACGAAAGUAGGUCUUAGUGAUCCGGUGGUUCUGUAUGGAAGGGCCAUCGCUCAACGGAUAAAAGGUACUCCGGGGAUAACAGGCUGAUACCGCCCAAGAGUUCAUAUCGACGGCGGUGUUUGGCACCUCGAUGUCGGCUCAUCACAUCCUGGGGCUGAAGCCGGUCCCAAGGGUAUGGCUGUUCGCCAUUUAAAGUGGUACGCGAGCUGGGUUUAGAACGUCGUGAGACAGUUCGGUCCCUAUCUGCCGUGGACGUUUGAGAUUUGAGAGGGGCUGCUCCUAGUACGAGAGGACCGGAGUGGACGAACCUCUGGUGUUCCGGUUGUCACGCCAGUGGCAUUGCCGGGUAGCUAUGUUCGGAAAAGAUAACCGCUGAAAGCAUCUAAGCGGGAAACUUGCCUCAAGAUGAGAUCUCACUGGGAACUUGAUUCCCCUGAAGGGCCGUCGAAGACUACGACGUUGAUAGGCUGGGUGUGUAAGCGUUGUGAGGCGUUGAGCUAACCAGUACUAAU
rnacentral:rRNA from 1 species